AAAAGAAGAAUCGCGCAUGCGCACAGAGGCUGGAGGAGACGAGGAGAGACGCGGAACUACCAAACAUUUGGAGUGAAUUUGGCGGCGGCGAGAGUAUCUAAAUCUGUUUUGGCGGUUGAGCAUAAGCUGUUUUGUGACUGGAUCGAGAUGGAAGGGGAUAGUGACGGGAUGUAUGAGGAUAGUAUGGAAAUGGAUAGGACUAGAGUGGAGAGAGGAAAGAAGGGGAGAGGAGGGAGUGAAGGAAAGGCGAGUACUAAAAGAGUGCAUGAAGACGAUGAAGAGGUUGAUAAGAGGAAAAGGGUUAUGAUGGAUGAAUAUAAGAUCAUUUAUACAUUUAAGUCAAACCAAGAUAUGAAUGACAUUAGUUUGAUGACUCUGGUUAAGGGAUUAAAGAAGGACAUUGGAGAGGUGGAGAUAGCGAAGGUGCUCAGGGACGGACGGCUGUUGAUUAAAUGCAAAAAUGGAGAGCAAAAGAACAAAGCAAUGCGAUUGCAAAAACUGUGCAACAAAAUAAUAAAGGAAAAAAUCGAAGUGGGAGAACGGAAGGGGGCAAGAGGAGUCGUGACAGGAAUCCCAAGAGGAGAAAAUUUAGAUGAUCUGAAAAGAGAAAUAAAAGGAGGAACUGUCACUACGAUGAAAAGAUUGAUGGCAUUUAGGAACGGUGAAAAGACUGAGAGCGAAUCUGUGCUAGUGCAAUUUGCAGAGGAGGUCCUACCAGAGAGAAUCAUGAUUGGGUAUCUAAGCUUCUAUGUUAGAGCUUACGUGCCACCCCCAGUACGUUGUUUCAAGUGCCAACGCUAUGGGCACAUAGCUAGUGUGUGUCAUGCUAAAAUGAGAUGUGGAAGGUGUGGAGGGGAGCAUGAAUAUGGACAAUGUGGAGAAAAUGAACAGGUCAAGUGUUGUAAUUGUGGCGGGAAUCACACAGCAGCGUAUGGGGGCUGCAUCAUAAGAAAACAGGCAACAGAAGUACAGCAAAUCAGAGUUGAACGAAAUAUUACUUAUGCAGAGGCAGUUAAAAUAAGAAAUCAAGAAAGUGCAGAACAGGACAGAAGUGAAAAUAGUUCAAGAAAUAAAAAACAAGAGGCAGCAAAUACAGGAAUUUCCAUGGAUAAACUAGUUGUAUUCCUGGCUUAUGUAAUAAAUUGUACAGAACAGGCUAGAAACAAGACUGAGAAAAUCAAAAUAAUUGUCAAAGCAGCAGCAAAGUUUUUAAAUUUAAAAGAAUUAUCCUGGGAACAGGUGCAAGGUGAGCUACAGAGAGUAGACGAGACCGAGUCAUGUUACCACAAUCCAACGCCAUGUUAAUUGUUCAGUGGAAUGCCAGAAGUCUGAUAGCAAACGGACAGGAAUUAAAGGGAUAUAUUAAUAAUAUGAAAAAUAAACCACAUAUAAUAUGUAUUCAAGAAACAUGGCUGAAGCCAAAAUUAAACUUUAUAAUAAAAGGAUAUAUAACGAUACGUAAAGAUAGGAAUGAUGGGCAAGGAGGAGGAUGUGCCAUAUUUAUUAAGGAAGAUAUGCAUUAUUCAAUAUUAAAAGUAAAACAAGAACUAGAGAUAGUAGGAGUAGAAGUAUGGAAUAAUAAAGAAAGAUACAAAGUACUAAACUUCUAUAACCCAUGCAAGAAAUUAGAAAUUCACCAACUAGAAACAAUAAUGGAGCACUGGAGUGGCAAUAUUAUUUGGUGUGGUGACUUUAAUGCACAUAGCACAAUGUGGGGUGAAAGGGAUGACUGGAAUGGGGAUACAUUGGAAGCACUUUUGGAGGAAAAAGAACUGGUGUGUGUGAAUGAUGGGUCGGGAACAAGGUUAGAUGUCGUCACGGGUAAAGAAACAGCAAUAGAUUUAACACUAGUGUCACAAGGGUUAGCAGGAAAGGUGGAGUGGGAAGUAAAUAAAUACAGCACAAUGGGAAGUGAUCACUAUCCAAUCGUCAUUCACAUAAACAUAAAUCAUAGGACAGAAAGCACUAGGAUAGAAGGAAGAUGGAAGUAUAAUCAUGGUGACUGGGAGAAAUUUAGGGAAAUUACCGACAUAACUUUAAAGGAAGUAGAUAUAAAUCAAGAUAUUGAACAAUUAAAUACAGAUAUUACAAAGUGCAUAAUAGAAGCAGCCGAACAGAGCAUACCAAGGAAUAGUAUAGGGAGAAGAAGGAAGAUAGUGCCGUGGUGGACACAAGAGUGCACAGAUGCAAUACAAGAACGGAAUAGAGCAUUUAGAAUAUUGAGAAGAACACAUAAUUUCCAAGACAUGAUCCAGUAUAAAAGGCAUCAAGCUAGAGUAAGGUAUGUUAUUAAAAAAACAAGAAAACACCAUUGGAGAACUUUUUGUGAAACACUAAAUAGAACUACUCCUUUAAGCCAGGUGUGGGGAAUGAUCAAGAGAAUGUCAGGGCUCAGAAAAGAACAUAAAAAUCAUGUGAUGAAAGAUGGAAUGCGGAGUGUGGUAGGAAAUAAAGAAAAAGCAGAACUUUUAGCAAAAACCUUUGUUAAAGUGCACAGUAAUGAUAAUUUGAAAAAUGUAGAAAAACAAAAGAGAGAAGAAACAAUUAGUGUAAAUAUUGAGGAAAUGAAGGAAGACAACGAUAAUAGUUUUAUCAACACUGUGGAUAUGACAUUUUCUUUGGAUGAAAUGGUUCGAAUUUUAAAAAAAGUUAAAAAUACGACGGCAGGGAAAGACCUGGUGAGUUAUCAAAUGAUCAAAAAUUUAGGUAGCAUCGGCAAAGAAGUGGUCUUGAAAUUAUAUAAUAGGAUAUAUGAAGAAGGAAAAUUACCAGAUGAGUGGAAAACAGCUGUAAUAAUUCCAAUAUGCAAGCCAGGGAAAGAUCCGGAAGAGGCAGGAAAUUAUAGGCCGAUUGCAUUGACCUCAAAUUUGGGCAAAGUAAUGGAAAAAAUGAUUAAUGAAAGAUUAAUAUAUUAUUUAGAGUCAAAAGAAAUUAUAAAAAACUACCAAAGUGGUUUUCGCAAAGCAAGAAGCACAAAUGACCCAGCAGUGCAGCUGGAAGAGGAAAUUAGAAAGGGACAAAUAAAUAAAGAAAGUAUAAUUGCGGUAUUUUUUGACAUAGAGAAAGCGUAUGAUAUGUUGUGGAAACAGGGGUUGCUGAUGAAACUAAAUAGGAUUGGGAUUAGAGGAAGAAUGUACAGAUGGAUAAAAGACUUUUUAACAAGUAGAACAUUAUUAGUAAAGAUAGAAAAUGAAUAUAGUAGAGAAUACAAAGUGGAAAAUGGGACCCCACAAGGGAGUAUAAUAAGUCCAGUACUAUUUUCCAUCAUGAUAAAUGAAGUUUUUAGUGAAGUGGAAGGGUUAGUGGAGGUGGCAUUGUUUGCUGAUGAUGGAGUGAUGUGGAAGAGAGGUAGAAAUACAAAUUAUAUAGAAAAGAAGAUUCAAAAAGCGGUAAAUAAUGUUCAAGACUGGGGGACGGCUUGGGGUUUAAGAUUCUCUGUUGGAAAGACAAAAGUCAUACAUUUUACGAAGAGGAAAAUACAAAACAAGCUCCAAAUAAAACUCUAUGGAGAAAACAUAGAAGAGGUACAAGUUUUUAAAUAUUUAGGAAUAUGGUUUGAUAAAAAUAUUAACUGGUCAACCCACAUCAGCAAGAUAAUGGAGAAAAGUAAAAAGGUGUUAAAUAUAAUGAGGGCUUUGAGGGGUAAAGAUUGGGGGGCUGAUAGGUUAACAUUGAAAACAAUAUAUAUCACUUUAAUUCGGUCUGUUAUCGACUACGGAUGCAUUAUUUAUCGAUCUGCUUCAAAAACUCUACUUGAGAAAAUAGACCGGAUCCAGUCGCAGGCGUUAAGAUUAUGUUGUGGAGCUACUAAAUCUACUCCAGUGGCAGCAUUACAAGUAGAAAUGAAUGAAAAACCUUUGGACAUGAGGAGAGAUCAACUCUCAGCAGUUUAUUGGGCAAACUUAAAAGGAUCCAAGCAAGGACAUCCAACCCGUCAAGUGCUAACAAAUUGCCAAGAAAAAGGGAAGAAAAAAAUGAAUAGUUUUGGGUGGAUAAUAGGAGAUAUAUGUAAAAAAACACAAAUUGACGAUAUUAAAGUGAGCCCUACAGUACCAAUUCCUGCAAUACCACCGUGGAUGUAUGAAAACCCAAAGGUAGACAUGCAGUUACUGAAGAAUAGACAUUUAAAUAGUUACCAAAUAGAACAACGGAUUGAGGAAAUGUUUUUUGAUAAUAUUAUGAUAUACACAGAUGCAUCAAAAACUAUAAAUAGUAAAGUAGGAGCUGCUGCAGUUAUCCCACAGAGAAAUAUAGUGUUGAAUAAAAGAAUUAGUGAUAAACUAUCUGUUUUUACGGGGGAAUUGGUAGCAAUUUAUAUGGCAGUUAACUGGAUAGAGGAAAACAAAGCUAGGAAAGUAGUCGUGUGCUCGGACUCCAGCAGUGCAUUGACGAGCAUAAAAAACAUAACAUCAGAAACAAGACUAGAUAUAGUUUAUGAAAUAGUUCAGGCAAUCUACAGAAUAAAUAAAGCGGGAGGUGUGGUAACAUUUCUCUGGGUUCCUGCUCAUGUAGGAGUUGAGGGAAAUGAGUUAGCUGAUAGAUACGCAAAACAAGCAACCACUAAAACAGAAGUAAACAUGGAGAUGAAGCACAGUAAAGAAGAAGUGAAGAGCAUAAUUAAGAUAGAACACAAUAAAAAGUGGCAGGAUAAUUGGAAUAAGGAAACAAAAGGUAGAGAGUUUUACAAAGUCCAGAGGAAAGUAGGUGUAAUGAGAGGAGGGGGUAGAAAUAGGAAGGAAGAAGACAUUAUGACUAGAAUGAGAUUAGGGCAUACAUAUCUAAAUAGUUCACUAAAAUUGAUAGGCAAACAUACUACAGGGCUGUGUGAUUUUUGCCACCAGAUAGAAAAUGUUGACCAUGUCUUAAUACAAUGUAGGAAAUAUAAUAGAGAAAGAGAAAUACUGGAAAAUAAGUUAGCAAAAGAAAAUAUUAGGUUAGAAGUGGGAGAUAUAUUAGGAUUGCAUUCAGAAAACAUAGGAUAUAAAGCAAUAUACACAUAUUUAAAAAACACUGGGUUAAGUAAAAGAAUAUAGAGUAGGGAUCCACCUCGGUCCACACUCCAUUACAGUAGGUGGCGGUAAUGCACACCAGAAGGUUGCUUGCCAACCGCCAUAAAAACAAAAGAAGAAGAAGAAGAAGAAAGAGGAAUAACCCUCGCAAGACAAGAACGAAGUAGAGUCACGUAACUGCCGAUAAAUAACAUUUCGACAUGGAGACAAUAGUAGAAAAGCUGGAGGUCAUGGUUACCUGCCGGAUUGAGUCAGUGCCGAUGUUGGAAGAACUCGCCAAUAAUCGUGUUGGUGAGCCCCUUGCUAAGUGACUUUCUUCACUUGUUGACAAUGGAGCACAACACCAAGCCAACAGACCAACAGCACCUGUGCGAACAAAAGACUGCACGUUCGCACAUAACGUAAAUGUUGACUGGACUAAGCAGGGGCCACAGUUCAUAAGGCAAGGGGAUCCAUUCUUUCUCCAAUGUGGGCCACAAACAAAAACAAAAAACCUGGAGAAUGCGAGAGGCAUGUUAUUCAUUUAUAUACCAUAUUUUCUUGAAUUGCCACCGGGGCGCUAAUUAAUUUAAAACCUCUUCUCACUCCUGCGCUUACCAAAGGCAUGCGGUAAAAGUAAGCAUGCGCUAAUUAUUUUAAAACCUCUUCUCACUCCCGCACUUACCGAAGGUAUGCAGUAGAAAUUUCAGUGUGAUGUAAGCUUGGACCUUAAAUCCUACUGAAUAGCUCUUAAUCUUCUUCCCUUUAUGCGAUUUCAAAUUACCGGUAUUGAAAUCAGCCUCCAUUUUGAAAAUGAUGACAGGGGAAGUGUCACUCGUGACGUCACGAGUUUGACCAGGCGGUAAUACUAAGCAUGUCGCUAAUUAUUUUGGGAAGCAAGUUUGACCCGGCAGUAAUUCAAGGCAGGCGCAUACUAUAUGCCAUGCGGCAAUUCAAGGAAAUACGGUAUGUCACUUUGGUUUAUUGAAAAUACUAUUAAAUAUGUAUCUCGAUACUAAUAAGAUACACUGUUUAGUAUGUUUAGAGGGGCCCUAUCAUGCUCAUAGAGGCGUUGUAAAAAUGAUGUUGGAUCUCAGUGGGGCCCUGUUGUAAAUUUAUUUUUAAUAAAAUUGUCCAUAAAUCUCAA